AACCAGCACCUCAAGUGGUCAGGAUGAUUAUUGGGCCUAAAGCAUCCGUAGCCGGCUCUGUAAGUUUUCGGUUAAAUCUGUACGCUCAACGUACAGGCUGCCGGGAAUACUGCAGAGCUAGGGAGUGGGAGAGGUAGACGGUACUCGGUAGGAAGGGGUAAAAUCCUUUGAUCUAUUGAUGACCACCAGUGGCGAAGGCGACUCUCUGGGCCAAUACUGACGCUGAGGUUCGAAAGCGUGGGGAGCGAACGGG
rnacentral:rRNA from 1 species